GUCAGACCUGUCAUUGGCAGGGCUGACCGAGCAGCAAUGUGCAAGUCCAUGGCAGGUGGGGACAGAAGUGGUGCAACCAGUCUGCUCAGAGCCAGCGAGGCCAGCAAAACGAAGUCCUAGUUGAGAACUCUAUUCCAGGCCUGCUGGACUUGAGACAGUUUCUGGUGAUGUGCUCAGAAUCAGAGGGGAGGGGAAGUGAUGAGAUGGCCCACAGGAGGAAGUCUUCCAACUGAAUUAUGGUGGAAGAGGCAGCACACGGCAUCGCCGAGGACCACGCGGCUCCAGUCAGAGCAUGGUGACUGUUUGCACUCUGUGCGUUUAAAAGCUGAGUUGCCUUUCUGUUUGUGUGGGCACGUCUGGCAUGACCCUGUUCCACAGCAUUUGUUUGAAAUAUUUCAAACAUAGCUAUUUAAUGAGUGGAAAUAAAAAUAUCCUUAUUCAAGCAGGGCCCCUGGUUAUUGGUGCAGCAUAGAGAUGUAUUCCUACUCUGUGGCUUUCUGGAUGGGAAUUCGUUUGAGUUCCAAGGGUAACUGUCGGAACAUGCACCGUGGGGAAGUUGUUAGGAGGAACAGGCCAGGCUGCUGUAGAACAGGCCGCAGAUGGUUACUGCCCUGAAAAGCGCGCUUGUCUGUGCUUACAGAUCAUGUUCCGAGGCCUAGCCAUGCCGGUCCAGACUGCUCACCUGUGGGUGCCUCCUCUGGCAGUGGUGGAGGUGACAUUUCCCUCUCACACAUCCAUCCAGUCGCAUUACAUUUUGUACGGUGCACCACUUGCUGCAGUAGGACAGUUUCACAAAAUGUUAGGGCAAGAGUGACAAUGAGUUUUUAUUUAAUUCAAAAGAGUACGUUGAAUUUGGGGGAACGGGUCAUAUUUCAACAAAGACUUCACAAAAUCAUGCCAUCGGUAAAAAGAUUAAUAUUUAUUUCUGUCUUUCUGCAAUCUUCAUGGAGCCCCAGGCGCAUAUCAAAUGAAUAGAAAGAGGCACAGGUCGCCAUGUAAGGGGAGCAAAUGACUCAGCCCUGAGUUUUACAGUGAAUCCAAGUUCUUGGGGUUAUACACGCGCAAGCCAGGCAAUUCACGGAAGAUUUCUGUAGCCAUCUGAUCAACCUCGUAUAGACAUCACGGGCAGACAGAGCUGAUUAGCCCAAUGACCUGAGUUUGCAGAAUUUUGAGAACUAAACAAGAACUGCCCUUUCUCACUCUUUCUGGGGCCCCACUGGGGACCCGAGGAUAGGACUUCUUCAGACCCCAGGGUUGAGGAGGAUCCCUGGUUCUGGCAGGGCCAGCAAAUUAAAUUCCCACUGCUAGAAUAUGGGACUCGGACAGGGAAAGCUAGUUGAAGUUUUCAUCUCUUACAACCUAAAGGAAAGCAAUAGUAAAAUACUCUGGCAACAUUUUCCAAAUUUGCACCCCACAAAUAAUGAGGCCUAGAAGAUGAGGAAGAGAGAAAAGCAGGGCAUGGGGUAAGAGUGUCCCAGGUGAUCGGAAAGAUGCUGAACCCCAGACUGAGGUUUGGACAGUCAAGGUGAACACAGGAACCAAAUGCAAGGCAGGAACCCAUCUGCCUCAUCCACGGAGGUGUGUCCACAUGCCUGUGAGCCCGGCAUCUUUACCCUGUGCAGCCCUGCAUCAGGGGGCUGUGGAAGGGCAGCUCUGUGCUGUUCUCAAGACCAGAAAAAAGGCAAGAGUAUUUGUUAUCAUUGCUAGCGCUCCUUACAAAUGCAGUAAGUUGGCGAAGAAGGUUGUAAGAGGGCAGUCUAGCCACUGGAGUAAAUGAUUAGUAUUUGCAGUGAAUCUAAGAGAAUCAACUGGGAACAAAUUAAAUGUAAUAGUAAAUACUAUCUCAUAAGGUGGUGAGUUGCAAUAUAAUUAUCAAAGCUAAAAGCUUUCUUAUGUACCAGAUAAAAUGACAAUUGAAUAAAAAUACAUUGGGAAAAAUUAUAACGUAUAACAGCAGUAGGGAGUCACCACCCCUACAGGUCAGCCUUAUAAAGAAUACAUGUGAUUUACAUGAAGAAGGCAAAUAAGUAUUGUUGAUGGGCAUAAAGGAGGGAGAGAGGAAAUGAAGAAGAAACCAUGUUCCUGGUUGGACAGAAUUAGAAUUGUACAGAAUACCAACUUUCCACAAAUCUAUAGCUUCACCCAGUUUUCAUGAAGAUCACAAUGGAUUUGGGAUUCUGAAUUGAUCAGGGGAAAAUCCCAUACAUGAUCAAAUCCAAUUGCUGGUCCCUGCUUAGUGGUUUUCAAGUCUGUCCAGGACAUCCCGUCAUCUCUCUGCCAGCCAAGCAGUUAUCAUUUCCGUGGUCUUCUUUUUCAGUUCGUGCUCACUGUAGCCACAAUUCGCUUAUUAUUUCUUAAACAAUAAGAAGAGGGAAAGCCCACCUGUAACUGCACUGGCUGAAAACUCUUCCAUAGCUGCUGCUUCCGGUCUGGUCCGGUGUCCCAUGGCUCCCCUGCCCUGACCAUCUGCAGCUGAGGCCCCUCUCCUGCUGCUCUGCUGCGUACUAUGGGCAGGACAGCACUUUCCUCCAUGCUUUGUGUCCUGACACUCUGAGACUUUUACUAUUCCUUCUGCCUCAAGAUCUCUUUCUUGUCCUCUUCCCCAAUCAUUUCUUCCUUGUUCUUUAAAAAGCAACUCAACAUCAUGUAUUUCAAAGAAGACUGACAUGCUGUUCUCCUUAUUCGAUUUUACCAUCCCACGAGUCCUCUUAGAAGGUGUAAAAAUUCUAAGUAAUAAUCUGUACAAUUAAUCGUUGAAUAACUGUAAAUCCUGCUAGAAGAUGAGCUCUACAGUCGUGCAGACUCUUGUCUUGCUCCCCGGUGCCCACCUGGUGAUGGGCUUAUCACAUUCUCUGGUUUUGUGGAACGUUGGACAUGAAUGAACAUGAAGGAAAAUGAUUGUUACAGAGUAACAAGGAAGACAGCAAAAGACAAACAAAGGCAUAAUAAUUGGAACAACAUGUUGCCUGUGCCAGAACUGGAGGAACAGUCAAUAAAAUACAAUAUAAACUUCAGAAAUAACCCCUACUAUAGAUUAAAAAAAAUUAACAUCUGAUAAAAACAACACAUCUAGGUAAAAAUUACUUACUAUAUGGUGCAGGACAAUGGAGUAACUUUUUGGAUUAGAAAUGUAGAACUCUAUGUUUUGGAGAAUAAAAGAAAUUUCAAUUCAGAGAAAAUAGCAUUUCCAAAAUGUGUUCAAAAGAGUAUGUACGGGUGAACAUGAAACCAUAAUGUUAUGGCUAAGUGUGGGAAGUUUCAAAUUAAAUGAAACUGCUUUCUUUACUUCAAAACUUCCAAACAUUAGGUUAAUUUUCAAGCUGUAUUAUAAUGCAGGAUUUGGCAUAAUUAUGUGGAACAAUUUUUAUUUUCAUAGUAUAAUAUCAAUUUGGGAAAUCUAGAUGAAAAACUACACUACAGGACAAAUUCAAGGAAUAUUUAUAUAGUUUUGGCAUCAGGAAAUUUUUUCUAAACAUAAUAUCAAAGGCAUCACUCCAAAAGGACAUUUGUACCAUUAAGGUUCUUUCCAAGAGGAAAACGCUACCACCAAGGUUAUAAGCAACAGGAAAACUCUCUGAUAAACUAAGUGUAGUAGACUCUAGCAUUGUUUCCAAAUAUUUUCUAUAUCUCCUUGGGGAUAAGUCAUACUUCCCUUCCUCUGGAAUGUCUGGGUUGGCCAUGGGACUUGCUUUGACCAACGAAAAGUAAACGGAAAUCAUGCUGAGCAGAAUAUUUUAGAGACUUAACCCACUCUCUCCCUACCCCCACAAUCAUGGUGGCACCUGUUAAUGUUAAAGGCCUGUCAGCAGGAGCCCUCAGAGUCCCUGAGGAAUCUUUCUGUAAAGAUAGAGCUGAAUGAGAAAUGAACUUUGGUGCAGUCUGUUGGCUUCUUUGUUUCUGUAGCAUCAUCUUGCUUAUAUUAAUGAAUUCAUUAAGGAAAAAGAUAGUCAUUGGAAUAAAUCAGGAACCCAAAGCAUGGACUGGACAAUGGUGCUUAUCAUAAAAACUUUGGAGGCUAAGAAAUCAAAAUAUGAAAGUAAUUUUAUUGCAGGAAGUUGUAUGGUCAAGAUAUUUCCACUGAAGUUGCAUGGACUCUAACCUUUCUUCAGAUUCUUUAUUCCUCAACUAAAAAACCCCUGAAAUUUCAAGGAGAGUAUAUCCAUAGGCCUAAUUUUUAUGACCUAUUCAUCCUAUCAUUAAGGGAGUGUGGGGCUUCUAAUUACAGUCUCCUGUCCCUACCAGAUAUACCUACCCAGGAGCAGACAGAGCGAAUUGACAUUCUGUUAAUAAAAAUAGAUGCCAGGAAGGCAAAAUACAAAUAUCUACUGUCUAAAAGCCUUUAGACUGGACCAUUUUAAUAAAUUGAGGAGAUAAAAAACAGCUUUUAAUGAAAUUAAGGGAAAACAAAAAUAUUAAUGACAUGUGUGAAAGCAAAUAGCUGAUAUCCUGAAUAUAUAAAUAUGCAAGUGAAAAUUAAAACAAUCAUCAGUAGAAAUGGGACUAGUCCAAGGCAAAAGACAUAAACAAGAAUUGCUAAAAUAUAAACUGUAAACAACCAGAAAAUUGAAAAGAUUUCAAUAUACUAGCAUUCAAAGAAAUGCAAAUUAAAACAAGAUAUUUUUCAUCUGUCAAAGUUAUCAAAAAUGAUGAUAGUCUCUUUUUAAAGGAGGAGCAAACUUCUCUAGACUAAUAUCAGAUCACUGAGAAAAUAGUAUUUUUCCUAUAGUCCAUGAUGAAUGUAAACUAUAUCUAUGUCUCUAUAGAAAUAUUUGGCAGUAUUUACUCAAAGUCUUACAAUGCUUAAGCCUUUUAACUAAAGAAUUCAGUGAUGAAUUUAACCUAACAAAAUAGUCUUAGAUUUGGGCAAUUGAUUCAUAGGAAUAUUUAUUUCACUAUCACUUACAUAGUGAAAAUUUAGAAAUAACCUUAAUGGCCAACAACAGAGGAUUUGUAAAAUAAAUUAUGGUAUAUCUGUAUACUGAUGCAUACAUUAAAUGAACUGAUGUUUUAGAAAAUUAUCUAAUGACCUAGAAACCAUUCACAUCAUAUUAUUAAUUGCAUAAAAAGUCAUGCUAUAAAACAGCUACUAUAAAAUGCCAAGUACACAGAAAAAUAUUUAUUGCAAUGUGAUAAUGAAAUAUUAGUAUAUUGGUCAUCUUUGUAGCAAUAGAAGAAAAUACUUAACACCUGUAACUUACAGAGGGGAGGUUUAAUUUGGCUCACGAUUUUGGAGGUUUCAGUUCAUGGUUGACUGCCUCUAAGACAAGAACAUCAUGGUGGAAUAGAGCUGCUCAGCUCAUGGCAGCCAGAAGCAGAGAGUGAAAGACAGAGGUAGAGCAAGAGAUAUACCCUCCAAAGCCAUGCCACAGUGACCCACCUUCUCCAGCUGAGCCCCACCUCCUAACAGCGCAUUCAGCUAUGCGCCAUGAUCUUCUCACCUUCCCAAAGCUCCACAGCUCUGAACACAUAGACUUCUGUGCGAUAUUUUUAGACCAAGCCAUAACAGUUAGCAUUGACUUUACGGGGGAAAGUGGGCUUGAAAUGGCUUAAAUUUCUUUUUUGUGUGUUUCUAUCUUCCCAAACUGUUCUGUAAUGAUGGUAACUUUUGUCAACAGAGUAGAAGCCAAAUCAGAGCUAAAGAAAUGAUCACUUUUAGUACAUUUUAAGAAGGUUUUGAUUAACAUAGCAAUUUGCACUUUGCAAUUUAUUACUACAAAUAACGUUUGCUAUGAUUUUGAUUUCCCAUGUAAAAUCACUCUCCAGUAAUUAAGAACUGCAAUUCACAAAAGUAUUUGUUAUCACUGCAAGAUUCCUCUGUGAAAAUUAAAUAUGACAAGUGUGUUUCAAGUGUUUUCUUGUGCCUUAUACCAUGAUACAAGACAGUUUAAGACUUUCUCUUGAGAAAACUUAUAGGAGGAAGAGAAGCCCUGCUGCACAGGGGAGAAUCAUCCAUAUGAAGAGAAGAGGAGUUGAAGCAAAUCACCCUUAAAUUGGUGCCAUGCAGAAACCUUGAGGAUACUGACUCCCCUGUGGGGUUACAUUUAACCUCCCUUUAUCUGUAGAGAUGGCAGCCCACUUCUCCCCAUGGGGUUCUAGCAUGGAAGAUCUAUAGUCUUAACAAUUUUAUUUUCAGGUGCUCUUUUGCUUGGGAAACAUGCCAAAAAUACUGUUUUAAAAAUGAUUUGUUUAAAAAAAUGAACCUUGGGACAUUGCCUCUUCCUUUGGGGAAUACACUAGGCUGAUCAUGUGGGGCUAGUCCAGUAGUCCAGGAGACUUGUAUCUGCAUGAAUUCACACCUAUUUGCUUUCUACUUGUGCUUUAACAACUAUAUGACAAUAGCUGCUUCUCUAGAAAUUUGCUGGCUUUAUUUGUUUUCAGGUCACUGGGUUAGGCAUCAUCAGUGAUGCAGGAAUAAAAGCAAAUGUGGAUCAUACUCUCUAGUUAUAAAGUCUCUAUUGUGAUGUAUGUGCAUAUACAUAUCACACACACACACCAGACAACAACACAGUGUUCCAGUUGAUAGUUUUGAAUGACUGCAAUCUAAGGCAGGGACUAUUGGUAUUCCAAGAAGACAGAGAAACCAAAGGGGACUUUAAGGUUGUUAUGUCAAUAUCAAAGGGGAUUCAGAUAUGAAAUAGUAUCACAGAUUUCUAUUAUAAAAAGAGAAUAAGCUUUAUGGUAAAUCUUAAUUUAAGUAUUCUCAAAAAUCAGUGCUCUGUGGCUGGUUCUAGAAGUGAGCUAUAUUGUUUAGGAGUAAUUUACUGCAGGCAAUCGAUGCGUUCCUGAAAAGUCAGGUGAGUCAAAAUCAUCUCCAUAACAUCUGUGAUUUUAGAAUAAUAACUCCAGGGCUGUUAUGGUAAUCAAAACAUGAAUUUCAGAAAGGAACCAAUCUAUUUUCAGAAAAAACCCAACAGCAUUAGAAAAGAGUGAAACCAAAGAAUCACAAUAUUAAACUUGCCCAUUAUUGCUUCAUCUUCACUGAUGAAAGUUGGAGAGGAACUGUCCCUCUGUUCACUUAAAGCUGAGGCCCCUCUUGUCCCUAGGUCAGUGGUGGCGAACUAUGGCCUGCAUGUAGCAGUGUGCUGUUUGUAUCAUUGAAAGCUCUAAAAAGUUCGCCUCUCUCAAACUAGGAAAGUGUUGUAGUGAUUUUCCUCUCUCUCUCCUUUUACAUCAUGUGUUCCUCUCCUGUAUGUUUUCCCCAUCAG
ensembl:lncRNA